AUGUGAAAUCAAUGCAUGAAAGAAGAAUCCUUACCAUCUAGACAAGAUAAACAUGUGGAUCAUGUCAAGGUGGGUGGAACCGUGGAAGGCUAACGGGAAGGAUGUGAGGAAGCAAGUAUGAAACGGACGCUUAAGAUAUUCAUGAUGGACAAGUGAACGAGGGUCGAGUUGAAGAUCAUAGAUUGUACGGGAAAGCGGUCACAUUGUUGUAAUUAUUUGUUAACAUAGUUACAUUAAAUAAAUGAUGAAUGAUGUAUUCAUGUUAAAAGGUUUGACCUUACGGUAUUCAAGUAUGUUAGAGUAGUUAAAAGGAAGAAAUUUUACGGUUCA